rnacentral:rRNA from 1 species
AUUGAACGCUGGCGGCAUGCCUUACACAUGCAAGUCGAACGGUAACAGGUCUUCGGAUGCUGACGAGUGGCGCACGGGUGAGUAAUACAUCGGAACGUGCCCGAUCGUGGGGGAUAACGCAGCGAAAGCUGUGCUAAUACCGCAUACGAUCUACGGAUGAAAGCGGGGGAUCGCAAGACCUCGCGCGGACGGAGCGGCCGAUGGCAGAUUAGGUAGUUGGUGGGAUAAAAGCUUACCAAGCCGACGAUCUGUAGCUGGUCUGAGAGGACGACCAGCCACACUGGGACUGAGACACGGCCCAGACUCCUACGGGAGGCAGCAGUGGGGAAUUUUGGACAAUGGGCGCAAGCCUGAUCCAGCCAUGCCGCGUGCAGGAUGAAGGCCUUCGGGUUGUAAACUGCUUUUGUACGGAACGAAAAAGCUCUCUCUAAUACAGGGGGUGAAUGACGGUACCGUAAGAAUAAGCACCGGCUAACUACGUG